AAUAAGCUUUAUUCCAUGAGUGCUGCAUUGGGGCCCACUUGUGUAUGGCAUCCAACCUAUCUAUCAAGGCAGCUUCACCAUAGAAGUUGUUACUAUCCAUCAAAGUUGUUGCUAUCUAUCAAGGUUACUAUCCAUUAAGGUUGCCACACCAUAAAAGUUAUUACAAGUUUUUGUAGAAUAAGCUUUAUUCCAUGAGUGCUACAUUGGGGCCCACUUGUGUGUAUAUGACUUUAUUCGUUGAAUGCUGUGUUGGGGCUCACUUGUGAUUUUUUAUUUAUUUUUUGUUUUUUUGUUUUUUUAAAUAGUUGGAUGUGAAAUAAAUGUAUUGCAUAAUAGAUCAUAAUGAUAAUGAUAGGAAAUUGAAAAGCGUGAUAGGAAAUUGAAAAGCCAAACAGGCCGUUCUUUAAAUAGUUUCAGCCGUUAGGGGCUGAUUUCAUAAAGUAAGUUCUUUGAAUGUUCCCAUGGUGAUCAAAGUGUAAACUAUAUGCAGAAUUGACAGAGUGUGUACACAUGAAUGGUCUUGAGAACUAUUCCUGUACAAGUCUUGGUAGAAUGAUCAAAGUGUAAACCAUUCCAACCCUUCACCAUCUGCAAUUGAAUAUGAAGGUUACAAUUCUGCUAUGUGCUAUAGUAUUAAAGAUUUAGUUAAAGAUUCAUACAUGUAGUAGCCAGAUCUAUUGGUGAUUUCAGAUUUACCUCUGUUGACUGUUUCAUAUCUACAUCUUCUCUUUGUAGGUUGAUUUUUUAUUGAUCGAUCUGGUAAAAUGGCUUAUUCAUUUGGUAGCCUCUUUAUCAUGUCUUAAUGUUCUCUUUCUUUCUUUAUUAUUAUUAUUAUUGUCUUAACUCUCCCUUAGCAUUAGAAAAAAAUGCAGGGGAGUUGUUUGUUAAAAUGCCAAAGACAUGUGAUUUUGCAGAAAAUUGUGCUUGAUCUAUGUAGUCAUUAACCAUUUACUGGGUAAAAUGGUUUGAGUAUGAAGAGAUCAUGAUGAGACUACUGAGCCCAAUGCAAAUGUACGCGUUGCUGGAAAUUGGAUGUGCUUUGUCAUGCAUGCCCAAUACAUUUUGUUAUUGCACUUGUAGGCAUCCUCAAAUCCUCCCAAUUGGAAAUAACUAUGCAGAGUUUCGGUGAUAGACAUGGACAUCGGGUGUAGGAUGUGAAAAAGGUAUGUAGCUGUUUUUUUUUUUUCAUUCUUUUUACAAUUAUUUGUCACAUGCAAUUUGCACAACAUUUUUUGCUGAAAUACAUUCACCUAAUCUUUACUGCUCAUUGAUCAUCACAAAUCCUGCACAUGUUUUGUAUGUCCGCACAUGUAAGGAAUCACCAUUCUUGUAUAGACCCAUUGAUUUGACAUGAGGAAUGCAUCCCUUUCCAAAAAAAAAAUAAUGUAAAAAGGUCUGAAUGCAUCAAUACAUGCCUGCAUUUUUUGUAUGGUUACUACAAAUGAAGCAUCAGGAACUGAACAAAGAGAACUAGUGAGGGAUGUUAGAGGUAUGAUCAACUUAUCCAUUAGUCAAGAUCGAACAAUGUUUCUUCUGAACUAAUUGAUUUGAAAAUUUCAGCCUGUAAUAUCUAUUUUAUGAUCAAUGGUCCUAACUAUCCUAAAAAGGGCAGUUUUGUUGUAGUGAUGGUGGAAUCAAUUUUGUAUAGCCAACCCCAUUAGUAGAGAUAAAUAUUUGGUUGUCCUGUAAAAUUUAUUUCUAUAUUUGAAGUUUUGGAGUUGUUCAGCUAGUGAUAGAAAGACGGACAUUCCAGAAUGUACUAGAAGGUUGUGCUAUAAAUUGUAGAUCCAUAUGCAUGAUGUUAUGAUGAUUUUUUUUGAAAUAUAGCUGCAGUUUAUUGCCUGUUUCUGCGAUGGGGAAUUUCUGGGUGAGAUGCCCUUCCUCUAGUUGUGUGAUUACACUUGAUAACCUUAUAUGGUGAUCCUCUAGUUUUAGUUGUUGAAUAGUCACUCUUUUGCGUGUUUAGUUUUUGAAUCUUUAUGUUGUUUUUUGGCUAAUCAAAUUGCUUUACUGUCUUUGUUUUGAUUUUAAUAGUUACAAUGCAAGCCUAAAAAGAAGCUCUGCCUGGAUAUGCAAUGCAAAGGCAAGUUCUUUUUUCAAAGUGUCAUUGCAAGUCAUGGUGCAACCACAAAGGACAACCCCAAAAAUGGUGGGACCUUGUGUUUUCUCUAGGAGUGGAGCACUUCAUGGAGGAUUUUUUAUUUAUUUUUAAUGUAUUCGGGCAAUUGUAAACUUAUUGUUGUAAAUAUAUAUAAUUUUUAUUAUAAAGUUGUACCAUAUUUGUUCAAUAUUAAUUUUAAAUUGUAUAUAAUAUUCAUUGGUUUUUAAAUAUAAAAACAAAUGUACAGCUUUUAUUGGCCA